CUGAUCCAGCCAUGCCGCGUGUGUGAAGAAGGCCUUCGGGUUGUAAAGCACUUUCAGUAGGGAGGAAGGCUUCGGGUUAAUACCCUGGAGUACUUGACGUUACCUACAGAAGAAGCACCGGCUAAUUUCGUGCCAGCAGCCGCGGUAAUACGAAAGGUGCGAGCGUUAAUCGGAAUUACUGGGCGUAAAGCGCGCGUAGGCGGUGUGUUAAGUCGGAUGUGAAAGCCCAGGGCUCAACCUUGGAAUUGCAUCCGAUACUGGCACGCUAGAGUGCAGUAGAGGGAGGUGGAAUUUCCGGGGUAAAAAUGAUAUGUGCCAAGGCGAACACGAACCCCCAUGGCGAAGGCCCCUCUCCUGGACUGACCCUGACACUCAGGAGCGAAAGCGUGGGGGAGCGAACAGGAUUCCAUACCCUGGUAGCCCACGCCGAAAAUAACUCUCCUUGGACGUUGGGGGCCUUGUG
rnacentral:rRNA from 1 species